rnacentral:rRNA from 1 species
AUUGAACGCUGGCGGCAUGCUUUACACAUGCAAGUCGAACGGUAACAGGCCGCCAGGUGCUGACGAGUGGUGGACGGGUGAGUAAUGCAACGGAACGUGCCCAGUCGUGGGGGAUAACUACUCGAAAGAGGAGCUAAUACCUCAUACGAUCUAUGGAUGAAAGCGGGGGACUGUAAGGCCUCGCGCGAUUGGAGCUGCCGAUGUCAGAUUAGGUAGUUGGUGGGGUAAAGGCUCACCAAGCCAACGAUCUGUAGCUGGUCUGAGAGGACGACCAGCCACACUGGGACUGAGACACGGCCCAGACUCCUACGGGAGGCAGCAGUGGGGAAUUUUGGACAAAGGGCGCAAGCCUGAUCCAGCAAUGCCGCGUGCAGGAAGAAGGCCUUCGGGUUGUAAACUGCUUUUGUACGGAACGAAACUGCUCUGGUUAAUACCCGGGGCUAAUGACGGUACCGAAAGAAUAAGCACCGGCUAACUACGUG